UCUCUCCCUCCCUGUUCUCUCUCUCUCUCGAUCUCGAUUAACAAAUAAAAUCACCCCUAAUUCCCUCUCAAUUAGUUGGAGAAUUAGCAUUGGGGAAGGGGGGGGAUUCUAGGGUUUCAGGUUCAAAACUAACGGUCAAUUCGAGCGGUCUUGGUUGGUUCGAUUCCCGCGAAUCUAGGUUUUGGUCCGGCGAACAGGGCUGAAAACGAUGAACGAGCAGUCUCAGCUAAUCAAUCAAGCUUCGCCGAUGGUGAAUCACGGCCCGAUGUUCGGCCAGCAGCCUCAGAUGUUGAUGAACCCGCCUCAGUUGCUGAGCGCGUCCAAGGCGAUGAGUCAGCCCCAGAUUAGGGCCAUGAACCAGCCUCAGAUGCUGGGUCAGCGUCAGUCCCAAGUGUUUGCUCAGCCGAUGCUGAACAGAGGCUACAAGCCGUGGCCUCCGCCGCAGCAGCUUGGGAUGGAUCCGGGCGCCCAGUUCCGUGGCUCGAAACUUGGGUUUGGGGCUCCGAAGCCGCAAGGUAGAGGUAACUGGAAGGGCAAGAAGCCGAACGACAAGCGUGUGGACUUGAGGAAAGCCCCUAAUCCCUCGGUUAACGCCGUCAUGACUGGUGCAGUUGGCGCUGGAAGUUAUAAGCCCCCUAGCCUUAACGAGUUACAGUCUCAGAAUCACUUGAAGGCCCGGAAGUUUUACCCGAAGAAGAAGUUUAACAAUAGGUUCGCCCCUUAUGCGCCGAGGAACACUUCAUCGUUCAUCAUGCGGGCAAAGAAAUCCGGAGGGAUUGCGUCCUUGGUGUCCCCGAGCCCUGUCACGCCGGCGGUGCUGCCAACGCCGACGUUCUCACCGACUACAGAAGUUUUAGGGGACAUGGCGAAGGAGGAGUGGGGUGUGGAUGGGUACGGGUCAAUGAAGGGUUUGAUUAGGCUACGUAACGAGGCAGAUUUUAGGGAACAUGAGGACGAGGAGGAGGGGGAUGAUAACGAGGAAGAUGAUAACGAUGGGUCUAGCGAGAGUGAUGUGGAGGAGGAAAAGAAUAGCGUGCUUAGUAGGUUGGAUCAUGAGAUGAGCCGGUUCGAGAUGGUGUAUCCCACUUAUGGAGGUGAUUACAACAAUAUAUUGGAGAACAGGGUAGAUGAUCAGGAUGCUCACAUUGCACAACUGGAGGAAGAGAAUUUGACACUGAAGGAGAAGCUUUUCUUGAUGGAGAGGGAGUUGGAAGAUUUAAGGAAGAGGUUGCAGCUCUUGGAAAGGAAGAGUCAAGGGACGGAUUAUGUCAAUGAGGAGGUAGUUGAGAAUGUAUCUGAAAAUGACAGUGGAGGAGGAUCUGAUGUCCAUGGAAUGGAAUGUGAAAGCAAGGAAGAGGUGAUGGAAUAUGGGGAUGGCAAUUUAGAAGGUACAAACAUUGAUGCUGGCAAUGACUCUAGAAGGGAAAAUAACCAUUUGGCGAUUAGCGAGAGUGGGAGGGAUAUCUCCAUGGACAUGUAUGCUCAAAAAGGAGCGAUGCCAGAAGAAGGCCAUUUAAAGGGCGAGGAGAUGCGGGAUGAGAAUAUGCCUGUUGAAGCAAGUACCGAACCGGAUGAGGUGAAGAACACUGGGCAAGUGCGGGAUUUGGCCACAGCUGAAGUGGAUGUGAAGACGCAUGACAUCGAAGGUGAGGAUAUUGGAACUGUCCAUUCUGAGAAGAGCAUUGGCGAUGGUGACUGAUCUCGUCCCUCGUUAAUUAUUGAAGUGACCAAUAAGACACUGGAGAUAAAGAUGUGAAGGACAGUGAAGGGUUGCUUCUUUACAGGUGUCCAGUAGCUUUCACUGGUUCAUGUGAAAAGUAUACCUUAUCAACCAAGUAAUCUACAUUUGGAUGAGGUCAUGUGCAGACUACAUCCUUGUGAUCAGAGACCUGGGAACUGUGAUAACUUGUUUCUUUGGCAGUCGCAAUCAGCAUGAUGGGCAUGUGCUUUCUGGCUAUCUGAAGUCAAAAGUCUAGGUUAGCCUUGUCAAUAUCACCUUCUCGAUAAUCGCAUGGUUGAUUUGCUAAUGCUGGCUGCUUUUGGUUCGUGCACUUUCAAUUUUACAAAGCUGUAUCUUCUAUUUCCUUCAUGUUGGCGUAUCUACGACCAAGUUUGGCACACAUACCGGAACUGAUGAUGGUUAUAUUGACAACAUUUUGUCAUGUUCUGAGCUCAAUCAUUACACCUACGUGCUGCUGCCGAUGUGGAAGAAUGGUACCGGCUCCCCCUUGCGUUCACAGUAAUUUCAUUAAUGGUGACCGCGUUGAUCUGAUUUCGGUGAUGUGAAGUUGCUCUUUCGGGCAGGUCCUCACGUCGUUGUUGACUUUGCAAAUGGAAAAUGUGAGACCUAUAAAAUCCUUGGUCAUUCUAUUUUGAAUGUACGGAAGGAGUAAUCUUUAACUUUUGACGCAGGUGGUAAAAAGCUCGACAUACCCAUUUCAUGUGACUAUGGAAACGGAUUCUUUACUUGUCAGAAUAGAUGAGAUAAUGGUAGAAAUCAGAAAUAGGACGCACCUUGUGCUCGGGGAAUGCCUUGUUCACCACGCUUACUUGAGAAGUACUCCAUUGAUGGUUAGAAGGGUAUAAUGGAUGUUUUCUUUUCGGCUAACGAGGCUAUAAUCAACGUUGAUUGAUGAUCAA